rnacentral:lncRNA from 1 species
UCUUAUGUUGCCCAGGCUGGUCUCAAAUUCCUAGGCUCAAGUGAUUCCGCCCACCUCUGCCUCCCAAAGUGCUGGGUUUACAGGCAUGAGCCACCAUAUCUGGCCAGCUUAUUUUCUAUUACUUGCUCAAUGUAAAGGCUCCAUCUCAGGAACAGCCGAUGAAAGAGAUGCACAGGACAAGAAACAGGACCUUGCCCUGUCACUCAGGAUGGAGUUCAGUGGUCCAAUCAUGGCUCAUUGUAGCCUCAAACUCCCAGGCUCAAGCAAUCCUACCACGUCAGUCUUCCCAGUAGCUGGUAAGCACCAUGACACUCAGUGAAUUUUGUUUUUAUUUUUUUGUAGAGAUGGGGCCGCACUAUGUUGCCAUGGCUGACCUUGAACUCCUGCACUCAAGGGAUUUUCC